UAAACGCUGCGUUGUGCGCCAUAUAUGAAGUUUCAACCUUUAGUUAGUUUAAGGGAGUCUUACAAUAAGGACUGAACGACAAGCCUUCAUUAUGCAGAGGACGUUGGGAAAGACUUUGCGGACACCCACCUGUUGGAGCAGGUUAUGAAACUCCAUAUUGAAGGCGGCAACUGCGGCUGUUAC
rnacentral:other from 2 species